rnacentral:rRNA from 1 species
GACGAACCGUGCAAACGUUAUUCGGAAUCACUGGGCUUAAAGGGCGCGUAGGCGGGCUCCCAAGUCGGUGGUGAAAUCUUUCGGCCCAACCGGAAAAGUGCCGCCGAUACUGGGAGCCUCGAGGGAGGUAGGGGUCGAGGGAACUCUAGGUGGAGCGGUGAAAUGCGUAGAUAUCUGGAGGAACGCCGGUGGCGAAAGCGCUCGACUGGACCUCUUCUGACGCUGAGGCGCGAAAGCCAGGGGAGCAAACGGG